AAAAAAACUCUAAAAAUACAAAGUAAGUAUAAAAAUUGAAAGAAAAACAAAUGGAAGGUGAAAGGAAUGUGUAUUAUCGAACAUUAGACCAACAUCAGUGCUGAUCCAGACCCCUGUCCACAUCCACAUUCUCCCUUUGAACAUCAUUCCUUACAUUAGUACCAUUACUUCAUGGUACCUAACAAAGCAGGUACACUC